rfam:Mesocricetus auratus contig077297, whole genome shotgun sequence.
AAGACUAUACUUUCAGGGAUCAUUUCUAUAGUUUGUUACUAUUUAUCAAAGACACUAAGUAAAAAUGGUCACUUUAUUUUCCUACUGUGAGUACAUGACAUUGAAAAAUAUGGUUGUGUGGUUGAGGUCACUGACUAGAUUUGUGUUCCGGUCCCAGCAAUUUAUACACCAUUGUUUUGCAUUGUCAGUGACAAUGUCAACACAGUGGAAAGGGUAAAA